AGUGAACGCUGGCGGUAGGCCUAACACAUGCAAGUCGAACGGCAGCACAGUAAGAGCUUGCUCUUACGGGUGGCGAGUGGCGGACGGGUGAGGAAUACAUCGGAAUCUACUUUUUCGUGGGGGAUAACGUAGGGAAACUUACGCUAAUACCGCAUACGACCUACGGGUGAAAGAAGGGGAUCUUCGGACCUUGCGCGACUGAAUGAGCCGAUGUCGGAUUAGCUAGUUGGCGGGGUAAAGGCCCACCAAGGCGACGAUCCGUAGCUGGUCUGAGAGGAUGAUCAGCCACACUGGAACUGAGACACGGUCCAGACUCCUACGGGAGGAAGCAGUGGGGAAUAUUGGACAAUGGGGGCAAGCCUGAUCCAGCCAUACCGCGUGGGUGAAGAAGGCCUUCGGGUUGUAAAGCCCUUUUGUUGGGAGAGAAAAGCAGCAGGUUAAUACCCCACUGUUCUGACGGUACCCAAAGAAUAAGCACCGGCUAACUUCGUG
rnacentral:rRNA from 1 species